UGGGGAAUUUUGGACAAUGGGCGAAAGCCUGAUCCAGCAAUGCCGCGUGUGUGAAGAAGGCCUUCGGGUUGUAAAGCACUUUUGUCCGGAAAGAAAUCCUUGGCUCUAAUACAGUCGGGGGAUGACGGUACCGGAAGAAUAAGCACCGGCUAACUACGUGCCAGCAGCCGCGGUAAUACGUAGGGUGCAAGCGUUAAUCGGAAUUACUGGGCGUAAAGCGUGCGCAGGCGGCUUGCUAAGACCGAUGUGAAAUCCCCGGGCUCAACCUGGGAACUGCAUUGGUGACUGGCAGGCUAGAGUAUGGCAGAGGGGGGUAGAAUUCCACGUGUAGCAGUGAAAUGCGUAGAGAUGUGGAGGAAUACCGAUGGCGAAGGCAGCCCCCUGGGGCCAAAUACUGACGCUCAUGCACGAAAGCGUGGGGAGCAAACAGGAUUAGAUACCCUGGUAGUGCCACGCCCUAAACGAUGUCAACUAGUUGUUGGGGAUUCAUUUCCUUAGUAACGUAGCU
rnacentral:rRNA from 1 species